rnacentral:lncRNA from 1 species
UUUUAAAACAAUAGAUCAAAUUUAUAGCACGUAAUGACCAUGAAUAAAAACAAUAAAGCUAGAUUAAUGAAUACAAGACCUUUAGAUCAGGUGUCACCCAGAGCACUCAAUUUUCUUCUGCAUUUUGUUUUGGUGGUUCAGUUUGAAAAACCUGAAUUGCACAGAUGAGCAGUUACAAGACAGCUUUUAAAGAGCGGGCCUUUCAAUCUCAGGAGAGUGCAGUUCACUGAGAGGGCAGGCAAAUGCUCAUUCAGAAGGUCGCAUAUAAACAACCUGGUAGCACAUGAAAUCGUUAGAUAACAAUCAUGCAAUCAAAGAAAUAAACAAAGGUGCUCUCCUGCGGCCAACACAGCCCUAAUGAGCUCUGCAUAUUCAAAGCACAAGUAAUUGAUAGUCCAAUUUAAAGUGUGCAGAGGCCAAAUUUCUUUCCAGGCGCUGAAGGAAAAACACCA